rnacentral:rRNA from 1 species
UACGAAGGGGGCUAGCGUUGUUCGGAUUUACUGGGCGUAAAGCGCACGUAGGCGGGUCGUUAAGUCGAGGGUGAAAUCCUGGAGCUCAACUCCAGAACUGCCUUCGAUACUGGCGACCUAGAGUCCGGAAGAGGUGAGUGGAACUCCUAGUGUAGAGGUGGAAUUCGUAGAUAUUAGGAAGAACACCAGUGGCGAAGGCGGCUAACUGGUCCAGAUCUGACGCUGAGGUGCGAAAGCGUGGGGAGCAAACAGG